GACGAACGCUGGCGGCGUGCUUAACACAUGCAAGUCGAACGAAGUGGCGAACGGGUGAGUAACGCGUAAUCAACCUGCCCUUCAGAGGGGGACAACAGUUGGAAACGACUGCUAAUACCGCAUACUGAAGGAGGGGAUUGCGUCUGAUUAGCUAGUUGGAGGGGUAACGGCCCACCAAGGCGAUGAGCAGUAGCCCGUCCUAGAGGAGGAACGGCCAACUUUGGACUGAGACACCGCCCAGACUCCUUCGGGAGGCAGCCGUUGGGAAAUCUCCCGCAUUGACGAAAGCUCGACGGAGCAACGCCGGGUUGGUGAUUACGGCCUUUGGGUUGUAAAGCUUCUGUAAUCCGGACGCGGUACCGGAAUAGAAAGCCACGGCUAACUACGUGCCAGCAGCCGCGGUAAUAC
rnacentral:rRNA from 1 species